rnacentral:rRNA from 1 species
CCCUUAGAUGUUCUGGGCCGCACGCGUGCUACACUGAGUGGAUCAGCGGGUCAGGUUGCGCGAAAGCGUUUCCUAAUCUUUAAAUCCGCUCGUGAUGGGGAUUGACGGUUGCAAUUUUCUGUCAUGAACGAGGAAUACCUUGUAAGCGCGGGUCAUCAUCCCGCGCUGAUUACGUCCCUGCCCUUUGUACACACCGCCCGUCGCUCCUACCGAUGGGUGAUCCGGUGAAUGAUUCGGACUUCAGCGGCUCCCCUGGGGUGCGCCGGAGAAAGUUUUGUGAACCUUAUCACUUGGAGGAAGGAGAAGUCGUAACA